rnacentral:rRNA from 1 species
CCCUUAGAUGUUCUGGGCCGCACGCGCGCUACACUGAUUCAUGAAACAAGUUUUGUCCUUGGCUGAUAGGCCUGGGUAAUCUUUGAACGUGAAUCGUGAUGGGGAUAGAUGAUUGCAAUUAUUCAUCUUCAACGAGGAAUUCCUAGUAAACGCAAGUCAUCAGCUUGCAUUGAUUACGUCCCUGCCCUUUGUACACACCGCCCGUCGCACCUACCGAUUGAAUGGUCCGGUGAAAUCUUCGGAUCUGAGAGAUGUCUGAUUAAUUUCGGACGCCUUUUGGAAAAGUUGUUUAAACCUUACCAUUUAGAGGAAGGUGAAGUCGUAACA